rnacentral:sRNA from 1 species
AAUUUAUCUAAGGAGUAACGAUACGUCGUGUGUCAUUCAUUUGGAGUGAGAUUACAUAAUCACUUUUAAAAAGGAAAUACCGCCAGUCAAAUAAAGUUAACGCGCAUUCAUGAUUUUGAUAUAGAAAAAUAGUAUCAUUAUAUUCACAUUCUUAAGGGGUAUUUUUAACAUC